UGCCAUAUCCUACAUAGGUCUGUCCCCAGC
rnacentral:piRNA from 1 species